rnacentral:rRNA from 1 species
UUCCGGUACGGCUACCUUGUUACGACUUCGUCCCAGUCACCAGUCCCACCUUCGACUGCUGCCUCCCUAAGGUUAGCCCACAGGCUUCAGGUGUUACCAGCUCCCAUGACGUGACGGGCGGUGUGUACAAGGCCCGGGAACGUAUUCACCGCGCUAUAGCUGACGCGCGGUUACUAGCAACUCCAACUUCAUGCAGGCGAGUUGCAGCCUACAAUCCGAACUGAGACCGGCUUUAGAGGAUUAGCUCCACCUCGCGGUUUGGCAACCCAUUGUACCGGCCAUUGUAGCGUGUGUGUAGCCCUGGACAUAGAGGCCAUGCUGACUUGACGUCAUCCCCACCUUCCUCCGGCAUUAAACCGGCAGUCCCGUUAGACACAUGUAACUAACAGCGAGGGUUGCGCUCGUUACCGGACUUAACCGAACACCUCACGGCACGAGCUGACGACAGCCAUGCAGCACCUGUGCACGCUCCCCGAAGGGUCGAUCCGCUUUCGCUUCACUACCACGUGCAUGUCAAGCCCAGGUAAGGUUCUUCGUGUUGCCUCGAAUUAAACCACACGCUCCGCUGCUUGCGCGGGCCCCCGUCAAUUCCUUUGAGUUUUAGCCUUGCGGCCGUAGUCCCCAGGCGGGAUACUUAACGCGUUAGCUACGGCACUGAUGACGAUAGCCACCAACACCUAGUAUCCACCGUUUACAGCGUGGACUACCGGGGUAUCUAAUCCCGUUCGCUACCCACGCUUUCGCGUCUCAGCGUCAGGUACGGGCCAGGACGCCGCCUUCGCCACUGGUGUUCCUCCCGAUAUCUACGCAUUCCACCAUUACACCGGGAUUUCACGUCCUUUUCCGACUU